rnacentral:lncRNA from 1 species
GGCAGGUCAAGACAAGUGCACAUAUUACUGUAGCAUUUUCCAGGUGCAUGCGUGUACCAGCACAAAUGUGCAGAGAGACAAGUUGCAAGAUCGGUGUAGCUACAGCCGGCCGGGGCAGCCGGCCGGUGCAGGCACGGCUGCUGCUACAGUGCUACUGCUCGGCCGAUAUUACUACUUGGACUGCACGGCCGGUGUGUUUGGAUGCUAGGUUUUGCCUGGAUAGAAGAUGGCCGUUCAUUUUUUGGAGGCGUUUGGUUGCUAAGCUGGUGUGGGAUAUGGCUAUCACUAGAGAAUAUUCGCAGUAGAUGCUGGAUAGAUGCAUCCAGGCGAAACGGGCGGAUGAGACGAUACAGGGGCGGGCGAGUGCAUGUGAGAGAAAAAAGUGGUGUACGCUCACCUCCUACGGUCCUCCCCCUCGUCUUCUCUUCCUCUCCUCUCCUAUUUUUUUCUCACUGGUCUAGGUCUCUGGGAGCUCUCAGCUCUAGCUUCUCCCUUCCUCUUCUCUGGCGGCACAACAAGAGGUUCCGACAGCCUGAAGCUCCAGCGUGAAGUGCCACGCGAGAGGAGGCGCAGGGGCGUGGGAGGCGGCACGAGUGGCGGUGGUGGACGGCGUUCAGCGGCGGCUUGCAGCAGGCAGGGAAAUCGACGUCCGACGACAUUGUGUUAGCUUUAUUUUGCAUCUAAAUUAUUUGGUGUAAUGAUUAAUUUAGAUCUGGUGGUUGAAAUGGAUGAUGGUUCAUUGAAAUAUUUUCGCAUAUUUCAUUUAUAGGAAUAUAUGGCGUGCAUGUUGUAUAUGUGUGCUCCCUCUUGUUCUGAGUGGUAACGCGUAUGUUAUAAGUUUCAAAAAAAAAAACAUGGGCUCAUGGGCUAUGGACAUAGGGCCAUGCAUCAUUUUUGCCAAGUCUACCAAAUCCACUUAUCCAUCUACCAUAUCCACUUCUCCCUCCAACCAAUAAUAAACUAAGCUUAUCCCAUCUACCAGAUCAAAUUUGGGUUUGUUUAGGGAGCUUUUAUUAGCUGCAACUUCUCACAGAAUCUCUAGUUUCCCCAAACAAUCCAGAUUGUUACCCAGAUUCUAAGUGUCUGCAUUUUUAGAAUCUAGAAUAUGAAUUAGAACCCAGAAGCCGGAAAACCCAGCUUCUCCAGAUUCUUAGAAAUUGGCUACCAACGAGUAGAUUCUCAUAAUUUUAAGCUCCCCAAAUAGGGAAAAAAAAACUGCAUGGCCAUAUCCUUACAAAUAUGGAUAGGCAUAUCCAUCCUUGACCACCAUCCCAACACAACCUAGGUAUAAUAUUUGUCUUGAGCUCGUCUUAUAGGAUGAGCUGAGCUGCUCUUUUGCAGUACUUUUUCCGUCUCAAAAUAAACUCAACAUAGAAUGAGAUGUGAUAUAUUCUAGUAUCACAAGUCUGGAUAUGUUCUAUUCUAUUUGGAUGCAAAUCCUUUGCAGUACUGCUAAUGCAGUAGCAGUGGCUGACAUGUGGGUCCGGGUCCACACGUCAGUAUCUGCUACUGCAUUUUUAGUACUGCAGACAAUCCCCAUUGAUCUUAUUUUGGUUUGAGUUACUUUAGAACAAAGGAAGUAGAUGAUAGGAGUAUGUUGCAAGGUAGUAGGAGUACACCAGGUUGGUUUGAUCACGUUUUCGCACGUGAGCUCGUUUGAGUCGUUUCACUUGGAUGACAGAUGGGCUCCCGACCAUGGGUCAUGAUGUGUCAGCCCUGAAGUUUUCUUGUGGGCUUUCGUAUUGUUUUGGGCCAGUCCCUAUGCCUCUAACUGCAAUGCGGGGCACGGUGUGCCUCUCCACUCCGGCAACAAAGGGGCGGUGUGGGUCGCCGGCCGGCAAAGAUCACCACCCACCAACCUACUCAGGCACACCCACCAAUGCCCGGUGACCACCCUGCGGCAAACGUAGACACGUAGUACUGGUAGAUGAGAAACAUUUGACAUCUUCGUAAUCACAUUUGCAGGUACUGGUUAUCAAGAAACGGAUUAAACACCACGCCCACAAAUACGAAAACAUCAAAUACAGUGUUCCCUUACAACGACAAGAGAUGAUAAC